CAGCCGCCACGGUAAUACGUAGGUGGCAAGCGUUGUCCGGAAUUAUUGGGCGUAAAGGGCUCGCAGGCGGUUUCUUAAGUCUGAUGUGAAAGCCCCCGGCUCAACCGGGGAGGGUCAUUGGAAACUGGGAAACUUGAGUGCAGAAGAGGAGAGUGGAAUUCCACGUGUGGCGGUGAAAUGCGUAGAGAUGUGGAGGAACACCAGUGGCGAAGGCGACUCUCUGGUCUGUAACUGACGCUGAGGAGCGAAAGCGUGGGGAGCGAACUGGAUUAGAUACCCGGGUAGUCCCUGUCUCUUAUAC
rnacentral:rRNA from 1 species